rnacentral:lncRNA from 1 species
GUGGGAUAUGAUACAGAGAGAUAGAGACUGACGAGAGAGAGAUGGAGGGGGAAAGAAAAGUAGCUUACUUGAGACGGAGGUGGCGGUGGUGCGACGGAGACUGGCGGCAGUGGCGGAACUAACUGGAGAACAUAAAUUGAAGCUAGGAAGCCCUAGAUCUAUUUUUUUUAAUUUAGGGAUUUAGAUGUAGGGAAGGGAAGAAAGAAAGAGGGGAUAGAAAGUAAGUCGGCCUCGCCGCGACGGAGGUGGCGAGGACCGGCGACGUCUGCCGGAGGAGAGAGACGAUCGAGACGAGAGAGAGAGAGUUAGGAUUUUGGUGGGUUGGAGCGCCGCUGGGAUUUGGGAGGAAGACGAGAAAGAGAGUUUACAGUUUGGGAGAAUUAGAUUNCCAUUUUCUGAUUCCAUCGACAAUGGAUUCCAUUAUCUAUAUCCACAUACUCCAGUUUCAGAUUUCUGCAUUCAUUUUAUCCAAAUUAGUAAUUCAGUUGAACAUCAGGAGAAAUACAAUUAAAGGAAAACAGAUCUUACUGGAACAUUUGAACUUUUUGCUACAUGUACAAAACACAUAUAAUUAGUUUCAUGUAUAAUUGGGGUGUUGUUACUUACUACAGUUUGAGACAUUGAGGCAGCAUUUGAUAAAUCAUGAUCCCAACACUCACGUUUUUCAAUAUUACCACCAAUUAAUCAAAUCCUAAUUCAAGACUCAAACACAUAAAUAGAACACCACCAUUUAUCGUUAUGAAACACCAGCCCAAAUGAAACAUAAAGAAUGAAAAAAAAAACUAGGGCUAAGUUGUUAAUGAUGACUGUGACAGUAAACUAAAUCUGAUAAAGAAAUUGAACUCACCUGAAGAUGCUUAUCAGCGAUUGCAAUAUGCAGAUCUGUAUUUCCCUCACAAUCCUUCCAAUUUUGUACCUUAUUUGCACCAGAAAAGAAAAGUAGCAAAAGAAAAGAAGAAGAAGAAGAAGAAGUAAAAGAAAAGAAAAAAGAAGAAGAAGAAGAGGACAACAGCAACAGCCGCGAGCCAAUGCGGCGGGGCGCGGCUGGCGGCGGCAACCGCCGGCGCUGCGCGCGCCACGGCGGUCCGCGGUGGCUGCCAACUGAGAAAGAGAGAGGGAGAUUGAGCGAGAGACAGAGUGGGAUACAGAGAGAUAGAGACUGACGAGAGAGAGAUGGAGGGGGAAAGAAAAGUAGCUUACUUGAGACGGAGGUGGCGGUGGUGCGACGGAGACUGGCAGCAGUGGCGGAACUAACUGGAGAACAUAAAUUGAAGCUAGGAAGCCCUAGAUCUAUUUUUUUUUUUUAAUUUAGGGAUUUAGAUGUAGGGAAGGGAAGAAAGAAAGAGGGGG